rnacentral:rRNA from 1 species
UUCUGGCUCAGGAUGAACGCUAGCGGCAGGCUUAACACAUGCAAGUCGAGGGGCAGCGUGGAGUAGCAAUACUCUGACGGCGACCGGCGAAAGGGUGAGUAACGCGUGAGCAACAUGCCCGGUAGUGGAGAAUAGUCGAUGGAAACGUCGCGUAAUGCUCCGUAACAUAGGAGACCGCAUGAUCUUCUAUUAAUAGAUUUAUCGCUACCGGAUUGGCUCGCGUACCAUUAGCUAGUUGGCGGGGUAACGGCCCACCAAGGCGACGAUGGUUAGGGGUUCUGAGAGGAAGGUCCCCCCACAUUGGAACUGAGACACGGUCCAGACUCCUACGGGAGGCAGCAGUGAGGAAUAUUGGACAAUGGCCGAGAGGCUGAUCCAGCCAUGCCGCGUGCGGGAAGAACCGGCCCUAUGGGUUGUAAACCGCUUUUGUUGGGGAGCAAUAAGGUCCACGCGUGGAUUGAUGAGAGUACCCAGCGAAUAAGCAUCGGCUAGCUCCGUGCCAGCAGCAGC